UUGCAGUUAAAAAGCUCGUAGUCGAAUGAAGGUUUUUUUGGUAGCGCGGACUCUAAGGUGUAACUUUGGUAGGCUGCGCCCAAAAACCUCCCUUGUGUGAUACGCUUUUCUGUUAUUCAGAAAAAAUCGCUCACAUACAUUACUGUGAACAAAAUAGAGUGUUCAUGGCAGGCCGAUUAGGCUUGGAUACCUCAGCAUGGAAUAAUAGAAUAGGACUUCCGGUUCUAUUUUGUUGGUUUUUGGAGCCGAAGUAAUGAUUAAUAGGGAUAGUUGGGGGCACUCGUACUCCGUUGUCAGAGGUGAAAUUCUUG
rnacentral:rRNA from 1 species